UUUUCCACUUUACCCUUUAUUUCUUCUUUCAUCUCAGCCUGCUUUUGUGGCAGCAAUUUUGUCUGGCCUGAAUAAAAUACCUUAUUCACCUUUAGGGAGAAAUGUAAUAUUCUAGUUUUGCAUAGAUUAAUCUGGAGGUGUCUGUGAAAUGUUUAAGUCAAGAAAUCAAUUAGUAUUUGGAUGUAAAAGUCUGGAUCUCAGUGAAGCCCUGGAAUGAACAUAAAAAUUUAGGUAUCAUUGGCUUAGAUGUUUUUAAAGCUCUGAAAAAUGGAUGAGAUCCCCUCAGCUGAAAGUAUGGCAGGAGAAUAUAAAGAGCUAUGACUGUGUCCUGAAGAAUUUCAAGAUCUAAAUGUUGGAUGCAGGAGGCAGAUAGCCCAGGGAGAGAGAGGAAAUUCAUGGUGUUACAGAAGACAAAGAAUCCAAAACUUCCACAAGGAAGGGCAAAAUUUUUCCCAGGUAGGAGAAGCGUUUUCCAACUUCGUUUUACAAAUGGGAAGACAGAGCCACUGAUUUCUUGACCAGCUUAGCCUUAAAUCACAUAACAAAGUUUACUAUGAUCUUCAGAUUGGUUAAACCUGUGUUCAGAUGAUUUGGCUACUGGCCUUGCUGAGGAUAUUUAAGUCAUUAAGACAUUUUGAAGGCCAAAAGAUGAUGACUUUUGGAUUUCACUUCAGGAUAAAGUAAGCCAUGAUAGAUUGAACUAAAUAAUAAAAUACUAAUCAAAAGUCUAUUCUGAAACUGCUUGAAAAAAUAACAAGCUUUACUUUCAGUUUUUCUCUGUUGAAGUCAGCAGGAACAUCACUUUGGAUUACAUGAUGCUACAAAGAAAAGCAACUGGAGCUGCUGAUAAGACACCUACUCGGAGUAAUGAUGCAUAAUGUGAAAAUGCAAUAACCCAGACCUCAUAAGUACGGACGAAUGCCAUCUUUUUAAAGGAAAUGGUUGCAAAUGUGAAGUGCAAUGUGCUGAGCCAUUUUCAAAGGUAUUUUCAUAAACAUGGCAAAAUGCCAAGGCUUGGUUUUUCCCAACCUGAUAGGAAGAGCAAGGAAUGUAACUAUUAUAGGGGCAUCCGGUAUUUGUCCGUGCUGUAUCAUAUAAAUGUUUACGUUCUGUCGAUUCAUUAUUAGUGGCAGUUUUAAUGGGAAUAUAAAUAUUAUAAAGUAUGUUUACUACAGAUAAAUCAUAGGAGUGCUGAAGUCAUUUGCAGUACUAAACCUCAUUUUGGAUAAUUACAGUGCCCCUGAAGAAUGCGUUUAUGUAUUACAAAAAAGGGGAUUGUUAAGAAGAAAACUGUUUUGGGUUGGUGACAUUCUGAAAAGAGUAGAGGCUGAUCCAGUUUGGGGAUAGCUUAGAAAUGUGUGAGAACAUUAAUGAGAAAAGAUUUUAUGAAAUGGAAAAAUGGAAAGCCCCAGUACUUUCAGUUGCUGGGCUAACCUUAUUCAGUCAAAUUUCAUGCAGAUGACUUACUGUAACUACAGAAAUAAGAAAUGAUUAGUUAAGAUUAUGCUGGCAGUAAAGAUACUAAUAUUUUAUUGCACAUUGAGUUGUAGUUUACAUUUUAUGCAGAAGUAAAUUAGACUGCAACGUUGUUUAUCCUUGUUUUAUGGAGGGCUAUUUUCAUCACGGUAUUAACGGUUAUUAUUGGUUUACCUCCUCCCGCUUCCUAUUUUAUUAGAAUAAGGUGAUUUUUAGUUUCCUUAUUUUCCCUGAUAACCAUAAGACACAGUAAAGUUUAAACACAGUGAGUUAACAAGGAGAAUUAAACAAUUGUGUCCUAAUCUUUGGAAGGUCAUAUUAUAAUGAGAUUAAAAUCUCUCCCCUUCAGGUACUGUUCAUUUGUAAACAAGUCUGGCUUGGUCUCUUAUAAAUGUUCCACUGAUUGGAUUAAUUUCCUAUGAAAUAUAAAUUCCUUUUCCUUUCUGACAAGCUAGUCAGAGUCUGCCAGUUUGGUGAUUGUUCAAGAAAAAUGCAGCACGGAAAACAACAAAUGCUGCAGCAAAGUGAAAUGAGCAUAAAAUGAGAUUUAGCUGAGAUUGAGGUAUCUAUAUUGUCAUUCAAAAAGGAAUUCAACAGCCAUUACAUGAGUUCUGUGUUUAGGCUGAGAAGUUGAGUAGCAGCUGAAUGGAGAGAACAGGGCUUUUCACCCCUGGCUGCUCUUCCCAUAACUGUCUGCCCUCUGCCCCAGCGGAUGCCAUGCUUUCCGGACCCCACACAUGACAGCAUCCACACGUGGGCGCUGGUGCAAGCAGACCCCAGUCCUUAACAAAGAGUGCUACUUGAAUAAAUUUGUUAUUUAUGUUACCUGCCUCAAAGUGUUAGUCUUCUCUUAACAUCAGUCUUUCCUCAGGGAAAAAUUUAAUCAGUUUUACUGGGCAAAAAUAUCCACAUCCUUGACUAGUAAUAUUAUUUCCUGGAUUUCUGACUUUGGCUGAAAUUUGAGGAACCUAGUCUAAUUCAGAUGUGAUAACAGAUUUUUUUAUUUUAUUUUUAAGACAAGGUUUUUUUCUGUUACCCAGGCUAGAGUGAAGGUGUGAGAUGAUAGCUCACCGAAGCCUCUAACUUCUGGGCUCAAGUGAUCCUUCCUCUUCGGCCUCCUAAAGUGCUGGGAUUACAACUAAUACGUGUCAGAGCUGGAAGGAGGAUGCAGAUCCUUUUGAUUUCAAGUUCAAGAACACCAUUGAUGUUGGUCUCAGGGAGCUGUAUCUUCAAAACCAAUAGAUAUAUCUUAGAGGGGAAUGAGCUGAAAAGAUAAUUCUAGCUAUAAAGAUGCUAAAUCAGCUGUGUACCUCCUGGCUCUGCUUCUGCCUACUCCUUAAUUCCCACUGGGUUUGUUGCCUGAUUUAUCCCAUAGAUUCUAUGAUUCCACAUUGAAUUGAUCUUCAGCAUCUGGCCCUGGCUGUGCUUCUGGUUCUUUUUUUCUUCAAGGAUCAGGUUUUUCAUCUUGUCCAUCAUCUUCUGGACCUCAAAUACCUGCCAAAGACCAGAUUUUGCCUUAGUUUAGUGACUUGAACUCUACUGAUGAUAUGAAGCAACCCUGCUCUACCUGGUAGAGAAGGAAAAUGUAAGACCUAUGGACCUUACUUUAAGAUGAACUUUUAAAAACAAAUAUACAUAUUCCCAGGAAGUUCCAAAACUUGUCUUUUAUAUGUUAAAAUGUGUUUACACUAAUAUAAAAUGUAACUUUCUUUUUAUUAUUACAAAUAAACCAACUAAUGCC